GUUUGGAUAGCUCAGCCGGUAGAGCGGCGGCCCGAAGAGCCGCGCGUCCCAGGUUCGACUCCUGGUCCAGACA
rnacentral:tRNA from 1 species